UUUAUGGAUGGUCUUCUUAGUGGUUUUCCACGGCUUUCUUGAACUGUAUUGCAUGGUUUCUCAAUGCAACAUAAUUUCAAUUAGCGCAAUUCAAGAAGGUCGUGGAAAAUCACUGUGAUGAUCUGGUUCUUUUU
rnacentral:pre_miRNA from 1 species